rnacentral:rRNA from 1 species
UACGUAGGGGGCAAGCGUUGUCCGGAUUUAUUGGGCGUAAAGAGCGUGUAGGCGGCUUUACAGGUCCGUUGUGAAAACUCGAGGCUCAACCUCGAGACGCCGGUGGAAACCGUAAAGCUAGAGUCCGGAAGAGGAGAGUGGAAUUCCUGGUGUAGCGGUGAAAUGCGCAGAUAUCAGGAAGAACACCAGUGGCGAAGGCGGCUCACUGGCCCGGUACUGACGCUGAGGUGCGAAAGCGUGGGGAGCAAACAGG